GCUACCCACCCACACACGUGUCUCCUUUGCCACAGAAGGUGACAGCUUGGGGGAGCAGGAGCGGGCGUGGGAGAUGCAGGGAGCGGGCCAGGAAGAGCCACAGGAGCAGAGGGAAGGCCCUGAGACUGCGGGGGAGACCCCAAGUUUCCUUGCUACCAUGAGCGCCUCCCCUGCCUCCAAUCGGUUAUUUAUUUUGAGAGAGAGGCUUGAACCCACGAACUGUGAGAUCAUGAUUUGAGCCACGAUCAAGAGUCAGACGCUUAACCGACUGAGCCACCCAGAUGCCACUUGGAACCAGGCAGCCACAGCUGGAAGAGUGUUACUGAGUAUCGGCUGGAUGAAUGAAGGAAGGAACUCACUGAAAGCAGUAGGCCCUCCCCAAGAAAAAUGCACAAAUGGGCACAUUUUGAAAGAAGCUAUAAGGAUGCACAGACCCUCUUAAGCUCACCCACAGAUGCCUCAUUAAGAAUAAGGUUUUCCAGGGUGCCUGGUGGCUCAAUCGGUUGAGCGUCCAACUUUGGCUCAGGUCAUGAUCUCACGACUAGUGAGUUGGAGCCCCGCGUCAGGCUCUCUGCUGUCCGUGCAGAGCCUGCUUCAGAUCCUCUGUCCUCUCUCUCUCUCUGCCCCUCCCCCCUCUCAAAAAUAAAUAAACAUUAACAAACAAAAAAGAGUUAGUUUUUCCUAGCGUCUCUGUAACACUUCAAAACUGAAGUCUUUAAAUGGUAGGGACAAGAGAUGGCCUAAAGGAACCUGUGUUUCUCAGAUGCUCUGAGGUCUGGGGCAGUAAAAGCCCUUGGGGAUCAACAUCCCCAC